GAUAUGCGCAUGGCUGUAGCUGCGCUCAUGCAAGGGUAGGCAACGUGCGCCUGCUUCGCUCUUCUUCAUCCCUUUACAACAUACUCCGAACCGGACAGGGGGCGAGACCCUAAAUCUCCAACCUGUGAAGAUGUUGGGCGGCUCGUCGUCGUACGGUCCCAUCCGGUAACCUAAAGUUGCAGACACGCACGUAUACUACUAGCCCAGAAAACCAGAAAUAUCCCAGGCGACGAACCACGGGUCGUGUGCAACAGUUUUUGGUUCUCGGAAUCAAGGCAACGGACAAAUAUGAGGUAGCCCCAGGGCAACAUCGACCUAUACGAAUUCGACAACCCAUGCGGUUACAAUUCUGCAGAUGAACGAAUUGGUCGAAAGGAGAGCUUUGGAUGUCAUAGCCUUGGGCUUCACCGGCACCUCCAAGGAGAC